CCUACGGGAGGCAGCAGUAGGGAAUCUUCCACAAUGGGCGAAAGCCUGAUGGAGCAACGCCGCGUGGGUGAAGAAGGUCCUCGGAUCUUUAAACCUUGUUUUUAAAGAAGUAAGUGCGUGAGAGUAACUGUUCUCGCUUCGACGGUAUCAAACCAGAACGCCACGGCUAACUACGUGACAGCAGCCGCGGCAAUACGUAGGUGGCAAGCGUUAUCCGGAUUUAGUGGGCGUAAAGGGAACGCAGGCGGUCUUUUAAGUCUGAUGUGAAGGUCUGCGGCUUAACCGGAGUAGUGCAUUUGAAACUGGAAGACUUGAGUGCAGUAGAGGAGGGUGGAACUCGAGGUGUAGCGGUGAAAUGCGUAGAUAUAUGGAAGAACACCAGUGGCGAAAGCGGCUCUCUGGUCUGUAACUGACGCUGAGGUUCGAAAGCGUGGGUAGCAAACAGGAUUAGAUACCCUGGUAGUC
rnacentral:rRNA from 1 species